rnacentral:rRNA from 1 species
GACGGGUGAGUAAACGUGGGCAACCUGCCUGUAAGAGUGGGAUAACUUCGGGAACCGGAGCUAAUACCGGAUAACACCGAGGAGCUCAUGGUCCUUGGUUGAAAGAGGGCUUCGGCUAUCACUUACAGAUGGGCCCGCGGCGCAUUAGCUAGUUGGUGAGGUAACGGCUCACCAAGGCGACGAUGCGUAGCCGACCUGAGAGGGUGAUCGGCCACACUGGGACUGAGACACGGCCCAGACUCCUA